GAGCCCCCUCACCAUGUGAUGUCCCAAGCUGCCUUGGGACUCUGCAGAGGGUCCCCAUAAGAGGAAGGCCCCGACUAGAUGGAAUCCUUUGUCCCUGGACUUCUCAGCCUCCAGAACUCUUUCCCAUUGAGUGUUUUCAAUGGGAAAUGUCUAACUGCUCUGUGGGUGUACACCACGGCCAGUUGCUAAUUUUGGAACACUUGUGAAUCCUGGGCCCAGAGUCAUGACCAAUACUGGAUUCCCCAGGAUCAACCAUCUGAGCAGAUACCUUGGAAUGUCCCCAGAUUUCAGAGCCUCGGACCAGCAGCAACACACUCUGAAGUAGGUCUCAGAAGACAAAAAGCUGAAAUCAACUCAUGCUUCCUGCUACACAGAAUCCACUGAGAGGAAAAGGAAACUUCACCGAAACUUCAGAAAGCUACAGAAAUGACAUCCAUUUUCACAAUCCCAGAAGGAAAGAUGCAUCUGAAGGGAAUAAAAACAGAGCAAUGGAAGAGUAUUUGUUAAAAUAAAUGGCUUUGACAGGGCAUUUUCUCUAAAGGUCUCCUUUGCCUCAAAUAGUACUCCUGCCUUCAGUCCAUCUUGCAUGCCACCCAGCUGUGGGCAUCCUGGCAGUUGCUGCCAUGUCCUUGCCUAAAAGCCUCCACCCCCAACCAACCCACC
rnacentral:lncRNA from 1 species